GGACAACAGUUGGAAACGACUGCUAAUACCGCAUAAGACCACGAUACGGCAUCGUAUUGAGGUCAAAGGAGCAAUCCGCUGAAAGAUGGCCUCGCGUCCGAUUAGCUAGAUGGUGAGGUAACGGCCCACCAUGGCGACGAUCGGUAGCCGGACUGAGAGGUUGAUCGGCCACAUUGGGACUGAGACACGGCCCAGACUCCUACGGGAGGCAGCAGUGGGGAAUAUUGCACAAUGGAGGAAACUCUGAUGCAGCGACGCCGCGUGAGGGAAGAAGGUCUUCGGAUUGUAAACCUCUGUUGUCAGGGACGAUAAUGACGGUACCUGACGAGGAAGCCACGGCUAACUAC
rnacentral:rRNA from 1 species